rnacentral:rRNA from 1 species
UACGGAGGGAGCUAGCGUUGUUCGGAAUUACUGGGCGUAAAGCGCACGUAGGCGGCUUUUUAAGUCAGGGGUGAAAUCCCGGGGCUCAACCCUGGAACUGCCCUUGAAACUGGAGAGCUAGAAUCUUGGAGAGGCGAGUGGAAUUCCGAGUGUAGAGGUGAAAUUCGUAGAUAUUCGGAAGAACACCAGUGGCGAAGGCGACUCGCUGGACAAGUAUUGACGCUGAGGUGCGAAAGCGUGGGGAGCAAACAGG